rnacentral:rRNA from 1 species
AUUGAACGCUGGCGGCAGGCCUAACACAUGCAAGUCGAGCGGAUGAGUGGAGCUUGCUCCAUGAUUCAGCGGCGGACGGGUGAGUAAUGCCUAGGAAUCUGCCUGGUAGUGGGGGACAACGUUUCGAAAGGAACGCUAAUACCGCAUACGUCCUACGGGAGAAAGUGGGGGAUCUUCGGACCUCACGCUAUCAGAUGAGCCUAGGUCGGAUUAGCUAGUUGGUGAGGUAAAGGCUCACCAAGGCGACGAUCCGUAACUGGUCUGAGAGGAUGAGCAGUCCCACUGGAACUGAGACACGGUCCAGACUCCUACGGGAGGCAGCAGUGGGGAAUAUUGGACAAUGGGCGAAAGCCUGAUCCAGCCAUGCCGCGUGUGUGAAGAAGGUCUUCGGAUUGUAAAGCACUUUAAGUUGGGAGGAAGGGCAGUAAGUUAAUACCUUGCUGUUUUGACGUUACCAACAGAAUAAGCACCGGCUAACUUCGUGCCAGCAGCCGCCGUAAUAC